rnacentral:rRNA from 1 species
CCUACGGGAGGCAGCAGUGAGGAAUAUUGGUCAAUGGGCGCGAGCCUGAACCAGCCAAGUCGCGUGAAGGAUGAAUGCCCUACGGGUUGUAAACCUCUUUUAUAAAGGAAUAAAGUGAGGCACGUGUGCCUUUUUGUAUGUACUUUAUGAAUAAGGAUCGGCUAACUCCGUGCCAGCAGCCGCGGUAAUACGGAGGAUGCGAGCGUUAUCCGGAUUUAUUGGGUUUAAAGGGAGCGUAGAUGGGUUGUUAAGUCAGUUGUGAAAGUUUGCGGCUCAACCGUAAAAUUGCAAUUGAUACUGGCAGUCUUGAGUACAGGUGAGGUAGGCGGAAUUCGUGGUGUAGCGGUGAAAUGCUUAGAUAUCGCGAAGAACUCCGAUUGCGAAGGCAGCUUACUAGACUGCCACUGACACUGAGGCACGAAAGUGUGGGUAUCGAACAGGAUUAGAUACCCCAGUAGUC